CAGCAGCCACGGGAAUACAGAGGGUGCAAGCGUUAAUCGGAUUUACUGGGCGUAAAGGGCGCGUAGGUGGUUAUGUAAGUGAGAUGUGAAAUCCCCGGGCUCAACCUGGGAACUGCAUCUUAUACUGCGUAGCUGGAGUGCAGUAGAGGGUAGUGGAAUUUCCGGUGUAGCGGUGAAAUGCGUAGAUAUCGGAAGGAACACCAGUGGCGAAGGCGGCUACCUGGACUGACACUGACACUGAGGCGCGAAAGCGUGGGGAGCAAACAGGAUUAGAUACCCCCGUAGUCCCUGUCUCUUAUAC
rnacentral:rRNA from 1 species